UACGUAGGGUGCGAGCGUUGUCCGGAUUUAUUGGGCGUAAAGGGCUCGUAGGCGGCGUGUCGCGUCGGGAGUGAAAGCCCGUUGCUUAACGGCGGGUUGGCUUUCGGUACGGGCAUGCUGGAGUGCGGCAGGGGAGACUGGAAUUCCCGGUGUAGUGGUGAAAUGCGUAGAGAUCGGGAGGAACACCUGUGGCGAAGGCGGCCGACUGGGCCGACCCUGACGCUGAGGCGCUAAGGCGUGGGGAGCGAACGGG
rnacentral:rRNA from 1 species